ensembl:lncRNA
CCUCGUGUUGUCUGCCAUCUUAUCCUAUUGGCUUUUCAUAUCGUAGCUAAUGCUUCUUUUUCUCUUUUUAGUCAAUGUGAAACCCCCAAGCGGGAAAGCGUCUCCGAAAAGAUUCCUUCAUCUGCUCCAGAUGCCUCAUCUUAUGCAGGUAUGUGUCUGUCGUGUGCAGGCAGGCUGGGUCGGAAUAUUAAUUUUUAAUUAGAUUGUUGUUUUUUUAUGCUGAUUUGGUUCUUUAUCCAGUUUCCUGUCAAGGGGUUGGUCACGACUCCCCUGGUCCUGUGAAUCCAGAUGAUGUGGAGUUGGGGUUUGAAAGAGCCCUUCAGGAGACCACUGAGGCUCGUGCUGUUUCUCCCCCCUCCCUUCAUUCUAGCAAUAACAUGGCCAUCAGAAGGAUUAAUUCCCUACUGGUAGGUUGUCAACCAAACCAUAAUUAUAUUAUACAGCUCUAUAGCUUUUAUCUAGUUUUCUGUUAGGAUAAUGGCAUUUUUGGUCAUGCGCGUGCUCUCAGUACUGCAGACAAAGAGAACGUACAGGUGUGUGUGUGUGUGUGUGUGUGUGUGUGUGUGUGUGUCUUGUAUGAGCUAAAUAAAUGUACUAAUACUGUGUGUACUGUUACGUCCCUGGACGUAUGCUCUCACGUGUUCUGUGUGGCUGGCUGUGUCCUGUGUAUUUUUGUGUCCUGUCUCUUUUAGGUUGACUUCGAGGGAGGAAUCCCUAUUGGUCACCUCCACCUAUAUAAAGAGACUUCGGAUGAUGUUCAGGAGGUCCCCAGGGUCUGCUGGGCCCUUACUAUUUUGGGAGAUCCCCAGGGUCCAUGGAGAUCUGCAAGGAGCUCUGUUGGGGAUCUCAUUCGUGUGUCUUGUUGCUUUGUGUGAUAGACCCUUUGUUGUUGGCCUGGUAGCUUUAUGUGCCUUUUUUCAUUAACUUUUGUGCAUGUUUGAGAAAAUCCCUUCCUUUAGGCUGAUAAAUGGGGGAUUGUCGUCAAGGAUGUUUUCCCCUGGUUCGGUGUUUGUGAUCAGAGUCUUAUAUCCGCUACUCUGGGUGGGGGGACGUCGUCACACGGACAGCCUCGGCUUGAGUCUGACCGGGGUGACGUUCGGCCUUCAACCCUCCGAAGAUCUGGUAGGUUAA